rnacentral:sRNA from 1 species
GCCGGCCCUGCGCCGUUGUCCGGGGAAACUUUGCGUCCCAGGGCCGCACCGGGCCGUCGUGACCCCACGCGCCGCGCCGCCACCGGGCUCGGAAAACCCAGCGCCCCCGGGCUCUUUGGCAGUUGCGACUCCGAACGAAGGCGGCUCCGUGCGGGCCAUCCCCUAUCUCCCCGGGAGUUCUGAUUCUGAAGAGGCAUUUGAGACCCCGGAGUCAACGACCCCUGUCAAAGCUCCGCCAGCUCCACCCCCGCCACCCCCCGAAGUCAUCCCAGAACCUGAGGUCAGCGCACAGCCACCUGUGGAAGAACCAGGAUGUGGUUCUGAGACAGUCCCUGUCCCUGAUGGCCCACGGAGCGACUCGGUGGAAGGAAGUCCCUUCCGUCCCCCGUCACACUCCUUCUCUGCCGUCUUCGAUGAAGACAAGCCGAUAGCCAGCAG